AUUUAUUUAAUUUUAUUAAUAAUUUUUAAUUAAUAAUUCUUUAUAAUAUUUAUUUUAUAUAUUUCUUUUUUUUAUAGGGUUAAUAAUAUUUCUAUUUUAUCCAAAUAUUAACAAAAUUAGUUACGACACGUGUCAACAUCUUAUCGUUUAUAAUUGACACGUGUCACGAUCUUGUUAAUGGCUGACUUUGAAAACCAAGGUUUAUAUAAUAAGAUUUCUAUUUUAACUAAAUAUUAACAAAAUUAAAAUUGACAUGUGUCAACAUCUUAUCGUUUAUAAUUGACACAUGUCACGAUUUUGUUAAUGGCUGACUUUGAAAACCAAGGUUUAUAUAAUAAGAU
rnacentral:lncRNA from 1 species